rnacentral:rRNA from 1 species
CAACUCUCAACAAAGGAUAUAUUGGGUCCCGUAACGAGGAAGAACGCAGAGAAAUGCGAGAACCAUUGUGUAUUUGAGAAUUUCGUGAACCAUAGAAUUUUUGAAAGCACAUGUCGCCCGAGGGUUCGGCCAAGGGCAUGUCUUCUUCAGCGUC